rnacentral:rRNA from 1 species
UUCAGGUCGAGAAGACUAAGGCGCUUGAGAGAACUCUGCUGAAGGAACUAGGCAAAAUAGUACCGUAACUUCGGGAGAAGGUACGCUGUUGAUGGUGAAGGAUUUACUCCGUAAGCUAUCAGCAGCCUCAGAAACUAGGCCGCUGCAACUGUUUAUUAAAAACACAGCACUCUGCAAACACGAAAGUGGACGUAUAGGGUGUGAUGCCUGCCCGGUGCUGGAAGGUUAAUUGAUGGAGUUAGCGAAAGCGAAGCUCUUGAUCGAAGCCCCAGUAAACGGCGGCCGUAACAAUAACGGUCCUAAGGUAGCGAAAUUCCUUGUCGGGUAAGUUCCGACCUGCACGAAUGGCAUAAUGAUGGCGGCGCUGUCUCCAGCAGAGACUCAGUGAAAUCGAAAUCGCGGUGAAGAUGCCGUGUACCCGCGGCUAGACGGAAAGACCCCGUGAACCUUUACUGCAGCUUUGCAUUGAACUUUGACCUUACUUGUGUAGGAUAGGUGGGAGGCUUUGAAGCUCGGACGCCAGUUCGAGUGGAGCCAUCCUUGAAAUACCACCCUGGUAAUGUCGAGGUUCUAACCCAGAUCCGUUAUCCGGAUCGGGGACAGUGUAUGGUGGGUAGUUUGACUGGGGCGGUCUCCUCCUAAAGAGUAACGGAGGAGUACGAAGGUGCGCUCAGCGUGGUCGGAAAUCACGCAAUGAGUAUAAAGGCAAAAGCGCGCUUAACUGCGAGACCGACAAGUCGAGCAGGUACGAAAGUAGGUCUUAGUGAUCCGGUGGUUCUGUGUGGAAGGGCCAUCGCUCAACGGAUAAAAGGUACUCUGGGGAUAACAGGCUGAUACCGCCCAAGAGUUCAUAUCGACGGCGGUGUUUGGCACCUCGAUGUCGGCUCAUCUCAUCCUGGGGCUGAAGCAGGUCCCAAGGGUAUGGCUGUUCGCCAUUUAAAGAGGUACGCGAGCUGGGUUUAGAACGUCGUGAGACAGUUCGGUCCCUAUCUACCGUGGGCGUUGGAGACUUGAGAGGAUCUGCUUCUAGUACGAGAGGACCGAAGUGGACGUACCUCUGGUGUUCGGGUUGUCACGCCAGUGGCAUUGCCCGGUAGCUAUGUACGGACGGGAUAACCGCUGAAAGCAUCUAAGCGGGAAGCCUACCUUAAGAUAAGGUCUCCCUGGGGGUUUAACCCCCCUAAAGAGCCGUUAGAGACCAUGACGUUGAUAGGUUCGGUGUGGAAG